UUUCUUUCGAUUUCUGUUCUCUUCCGUCCUCCUUCUCUUCCAGCUUAGUUGUUUAAUCUGGCAUGAAUAUGAUCUGAUUUUCGGAUGCAUCGUCCCUUCGAUUUAUUAUUAUUAUUAUCAUUAUUUUUUAAAUUCCAUUUUGAAUCUUUUUCUUUUUUUUCGUUUAUUGAAUUGACAGUAGAAACUUUGAUAUUUUAAAUUCUAGAUUACUGCUCUGAUACAUGUUUAUAUUUUGUAUGAUGCACUCUGCAGUCAACGGUUUUGAAAAGAUAUUGUUAAUUUGUUAAUUUGGGUUUGGAUUUAUAGAAGAUUGAAAGUAAAGAGAUUGAUUCACUGGAGCUGGAGAGACAUGGCUAACAAUGCAGCUGCAUGUGCUGAGAGAGCAACUAGUGACAUGCUUAUUGGUCCAGACUGGGCUCUCAACAUAGAGUUGUGUGAUAUCAUUAAUAUAGACCCUAGGCAAGCAAAGGAUGCAUUAAAGAUAAUUAAGAAGCGUUUGGGAACUAAAAAUCCCAAAAUACAGCUUCUGGCUCUUUUUGUACUGGAGACCCUUAGUAAAAAUUGUGGUGAAAGUGUAUGUCAACAGAUCAUUGAGAGGGAUAUCUUACAUGAAAUGGUUAAGAUAGUGAAGAAGAAGCCAGACUUAAAUGUGAGGGAAAAGAUACUGAUUUUAAUCGAUACGUGGCAAGAAGCUUUUGGGGGCGGGGGCCCUGGUGGACUUUAUCCUCAAUACUUUGCUGCGUAUAAUGAAUUAAAGUCUGCUGGAGUUGAAUUUCCACCACGAGAAGAGAAUAGUGUGCCAUUCUUCACUCCUCCUCAAACCCAGCCUACUGUUUAUUCUGCUGCAGAAUAUGAAGAUGUUGCUAUUCAGGCUUCUCUUCAGUCAGAUGCAUCUGACCUCAGUUUGCUAGAAAUUCAAAAUGCCCAAGGACUAGCUGAUGUAUUGAUGGAAAUGCUUAGCGCCUUGAAUCCUAAAGACCCGGAGGGUGUGAAGGAGGAAGUGAUUGUUGACCUUGUUGACCAGUGCCGUUCUUACCAAAAGCGUGUCAUGCUUCUUGUGAACAACACUGUGGAUGAGCAGCUUUUAGGUCAGGGAUUGGCACUGAAUGACAGCCUUCAGCGAGUACUCAGUCGUCAUGACCAUAUUGUGAAAGGAACUGCUGAUUCAGGUGCAAGAGCAGCAGAAACUUCAAUUCCGCCACUUGCAAAUGUAAACCAUGAGGAUGAUGAGUCAGAAGAUGAUUUUGCUCAACUAGCCCAUAGGUCAUCACGAGAUAUUCAUGCACAGAAUCGGAAACCAGCCUAUGACAAGGCAGAACCAGUGAGGAUAAACUCACUUCUUCCCCCACCACCAGCAUCAAGGAUGCCAGUUUACUCUGACACUGGCAUGGUUGACUAUCUCAGUGGUGAUGCAUACAAGGCUGAAGGACCCCCUGAAAACUCACAACCAACUUCAUUUGCAGUUCCCCUUCAUUCUAGCCCUAAUCCUACCUCAUCAACUCUUCCAGCACUGUCUUCACCCCAACCUCAUGCCAUGAGCACCUCAUCACCACCAAUAUUUAUCGGACAGCCUGUGUAUGAUGAGCCAUCUCCCAUGAACAAAUCUUCAGAAGGGCUGCCUCCAGCUCCCUGGGGGACACAAUCUCCUGGCAUCGUUCCACCCCCACCUUCAAAGCAUAAUCAGAGACAACAGUUUUUUGAGCAAAAAGGUGCGUCUCAUUCCAGUAGUGGAUCCAGUUCCUCUUAUGAUAGCUUGGUGGGACAAACUCAGAAUCUAUCUCUGAAUUCAUCCACCCCAACUAAACAACAGAAGCCAGAAGAUGUCCUUUUCAAAGAUCUAGUUGAUUUUGCAAAAUCCAAAACCUCUUCAUCUUCAAAUCCCAAUAGGUCAUAUUGAGAUAUUGCGUUUGUAUUGCUUGUGCCGGUACAGCUUAUGAAUGUUGUUCAUCUGGUUUAGCUUCAGAUCACUGAGACAACCAUUUUGUGGCUGUGUUUAGGAACCUUCAGGUUUUACAAUGGUAUGAUCCAUGUGUGGUGGUGAAGCUCAUAUAUAAUUAGGCAAUAAUAAACUUCCUGAUAAUCAAUUAGCAAUAAUAUGUGCAUGAAAUAGCAGAUACUAAAAAUGGUACGUCUAAUCUGAAUCGAAAUACAUGACAAUAAGGGAUAACUUUAUAUUUAAUAAGUAACAUUAAUAUUACAUGUUACCAUGAGAAACUCUUACGGGAAGACAUACACAGUAUGACAGUAGUAGUUAAUUAAAUACGUAUUAUUAUGGAGGUAGGAUCCUUUGACACCAGUGUCAAAUUUAAAGUUUGACACCUCAUCUGAGAGCCGUUAGAUCAAAAAAGAUCAAUGGUGUCACAUGCCCACAAAUCAAAAUCGUUGAUCUUUUUUUAUCUAACAGCUCUCAGAUGAAGUGUCAAACUUCAAAUUUGACACCGGUGUCAAAGGAUCCUGCCUCAUUAUUAUGUAUAUAGAUACAUCAUGGCGACUGGGUCAUGAUGCUAACAAAGAGGAUGGGUAACUUCAACUGACCGCGUAACCAAAGAUGCGCUGGCUGAAGGUCUUCUUUAUCUUUCCACACAUGAAGAUGAAUAUUUUCCUCUUGAUGAUUCCUCUAAUGGGAGGGAAUGAGCUUUUUCUGUAGCUCUUGUCUGCUGGUGACCUAGUUCGACGCACCAAUGCCAUUCCUGUUUUCUUUUCCAUGAGAAUGAGAUAGCCUGACUUAAUGAGAGAGUGAAAGUGGGUUUGCAUGAGUAGUAAUAAGGGAUACA